AGAGGAUUAGUAAAGAUGUAACUGGUUGGGAAAAUUGUCUAGGACGAACAAUCAUCUGGUACUCAUUUAUCGUAAAUCUAUUUACAGAUAUCGACACAGAAACUAAUUACAAAUUUACAAUGAAGUGAUAAAUUCAUCGGAAGAACUUCCAAUUCAUCUGUUAAAAGCGCUCAACUGAAGCCUGCAUCCAUCUGUGAACCACGGCAAUUCCCUUUCAUACGAAACGGAGGCUUUCGAGAUGAAUCCAUCCAAACAGUCUUUAAGAAUGUGCAUCAGAUCCAUAUUCGAAGAUGGCAAGAAGGCCAUUUGAAAAUCUAUGGCUCAUCAUCACAUUCCUCAACACUUUCCUCAAGAAUCGUCUCUAAACCAGGAAUAUUCGAAGUCUUUUGUGGGUAAGUAAAAGGGGCUGGAGCAACCUCCAUCCAUGCAUCCAGAUUUCUAAUGUCCUUUGCCAUUGAAGCAAUAUAAAAGUUGAAAAACAAGUUACGAAUUCUGACCCCAAACGAGUUCGGAAACUGAGGCCUCGGACUCUCUUCCCCCUUAGAAACAAGAAAGAAGAGAGAUCAACAGGGUUUCUUUUGUGUCUAUUGUAAGAGAACACAAGGUAAUCCCUACAUCGGUAGAAAUGUGGAGGCCUUUAUAUAGUAGAGAAGGGUAGGUCAGAAUGGGACAUUACCUAAAAAGAGACUUUGGGAGACUAUUGGCAAUCCGCAACCCUUGUACCUGAAUAUAGGCCCAACAUUCCCAAUUCCUUUGCAACAGGUAUAGGCCACAGAAUGAAGAUGAAACGUGCAAGGAAUGCAAGAAGCCUCCACAUUUCUGUGCCAAGAAAGACAGCUUCUAGAAAGUGCAAAACCCAUUGAACAUUACCUCACAUUUCUGGCGCCAAAUUUAUCAUAUUUAUUUUCUACCUCUAGCUUCUGUGCCAAGGAAGACAGCUUCUGGAAAGUGCAAAACCCAUUGAACAUCACCUCACAUUUCUGGCGCCAAAUUUAUCAUAUUCAUUUUCUACCUCUAACUUCUGUGCCAAGAAGGAAAGCUUCUAGAAAGUGCAAAACCUAUGGAACAUCACCUCACCCGCCGCUACAGUUUAUAACCAUUGCAUACCAUGGAUAUGUAUACAGUAUAUCUAAGAAUCAUCUGGCAAUUGGCAACUCUGACAAAGCAUAAUGGAUAGCAGUGAAGUGUUCUAAAAGCCUACAAUCAUUUCACAAAACUAUGGCUUAGGAUGGCACAAGAAACACUUAAAGCUCUAACAGUCAAUUUAGGAUCACAACUAUCCAGCAUAUCAAAGUCUCAACUCCAAUGUAUCCAGCAACAAAAAAGAUUAUUCACUUUGCUUCUGCCAUUUGUUGCAACUAACUACAACUCGGAUUAGUAAUAAAUGAGUCCAUCAUAGCCAGGAAGACGCAAUUGAUGCCCUACUUACCACAUAACAGAGGAAAACAAAUGAAGCACAAUACCACUCCAUCAUAGCCAGGAAGACGCAAUUGAUGCCCUACUUACCACAUAACAGAGGAAAACAAAUGAAGCACAAUACCACUGAGCAUAUAAAACCCCCCUAUCAGUUGACUCAAUAAAAAAAGGUGCUAGUUUUCUAGGAUACCAACUUGUUAAUUCACAUGUCUUAUUAGCUCCAAGCCUGAGAUUCAGACACAACUCGUGUUUAGAGAUAAACAAACUACGACUCAAAUUCACUUCUUUGUGAAUCCAUGUUGUCAGACUCCAAUCUCCCCUUAUUGCUUCACCUCUAAUUUCCCUAAUCCCCUCAACCACCUAGUUCCUAGAAUAAUGGUACCCAACUACGAAAUAAACAAGAGAAGCACAUAACACCAUCCAAACACUAGAACCAAAUUGUAUUGGCAUACCAAAGUCACUAAACAAACACUAAUCACUCUCAACCAAACAAACACUAAUCACUCUCAACCAAACAAACACUAAUCACUCUCAACCACCAAGUGUGAAACAAAUAAUAUAGCAUCAUCAACCAC
rnacentral:lncRNA from 1 species